rnacentral:tRNA from 1 species
CGUCGUUUACGCUGGAUAGGCGAAACCAGUUGGAAACUGGUUUUAAACCGGUCGUUCAUGCUGCCGAUCGCGAC